AAAGAGCACACAGCAUUUCCACUGCUCAGCCAUGCUCCUGUUUCUCAUCUCAAUACUGGGGAUUGUAUUUACCCUGAGAGAUGCCAGAGCGCAGUCAGUGACCCAACCUGAUGGCCAUGUCUUGGUCUCUGAAGCAGCCUCACUGGAGCUGAGGUGCACCUAUUCUUAUGGUGCAACUCCUUACCUCUUCUGGUACGUCCAGUACCCGAACCAAGGUCUCCAGCUUCUCCUCAGGUACUUUUCAGGGGACACCCUGGUUGAAGGCAUUAAAGGCUUUAAGGCUGAAUUGAAGAAGAAUGAGUCUUCCUUCAACCUCAGGAAAUCCUCAGCCCAUUGGAGCGACUCAGCUGAGUACUUCUGUGCUGUGAGUGACACAGUGCCUGGGUCUACAGGGGGAGCUGAACACAAACCACUCAUGGGAGUGGAGUUUUGA